rnacentral:rRNA from 1 species
AGAAUCAACGCUGGCGGCGUGCCUAACACAUGCAAGUCGAACGAGAAAGUGGAGCAAUCCAUGAGUAAAGUGGCGACCGGGUGAGUAACACGUGACUAACCUACCUUCGAGUGGGGGAUAACCUCGGGAAAACCGGGGCUAAUACCGCAUAACAUCGUUUGAAGUGGAAAUUUCGGAGAUCAAAGGGGCAAUUCGCUUGAAGAGGGGAUCGCGGCUGAUUAGCUAGUUGGCGGGGUAACGCCCACCAAGGCUUAGAUCGGUA